UUUCCGUAGGUGAACCUGCGGAAGGAUCAUUAUUGUAUAACCGAGGUGCGAGGGCUGUCGCUGACCCGACAGGUCGUGCACGCCCGAGGGCCCUCACACACAUCCAUCUCACCCCUAUGUCCACCACCGCGUGGGUCCCCCUUUGGCUUGUUCGGCGGGGGGCUUACGUUUGCACACAAACUUUGUAUGCAGUGUAGAAUGUAUUUUUUGUUUUUGCGAUCACGCAAUCAAUACAACUUUCAACAACGGAUCUCUUGGCUCUC
rnacentral:misc_RNA from 1 species